UGGGGAAUUUUGGACAAUGGGGGCAACCCUGAUCCAGCAAUGCCGCGUGAGUGAAGAAGGCCUUCGGGUUGUAAAGCUCUUUUGUCAGGGAAGAAACGGUAGUAGCGAAUAACUAUUACUAAUGACGGUACCUGAAGAAUAAGCACCGGCUAACUACGUGCCAGCAGCCGCGGUAAUACGUAGGGUGCAAGCGUUAAUCGGAAUUACUGGGCGUAAAGCGUGCGCAGGCGGUUGUGUAAGUCAGAUGUGAAAUCCCCGGGCUCAACCUGGGAAUUGCAUUUGAGACUGCACGGCUAGAGUGUGUCAGAGGGGGGUAGAAUUCCACGUGUAGCAGUGAAAUGCGUAGAUAUGUGGAGGAAUACCGAUGGCGAAGGCAGCCCCCUGGGAUAACACUGACGCUCAUGCACGAAAGCGUGGGGAGCAAACAGGAUUAGAUACCCCGGUAGUCCCUGAGCGGGC
rnacentral:rRNA from 1 species